AAAGGAUUUGGCUAUAAGGUUCCUCCUUUCACAGAAUUACUCCAGGGUUCAUGUGCCAGGGUGGGGAUUUUACACGCCAUAAUGGCACUGGUGGCAGGUCCAUCUACAGAGAGAAAUUUGAGGAUAAGAACUUCAUCCUGGAGCAUAUAGGUCCUGGCAUCUUGUCCAUGGCAAAUGCUGGACCAAACACAAAUGGUUCCCAGUUUUUUAUCUGCACUGCCAAGACUGAAUGGCUGGAUGGCAAGCAAGUGGUCUUUGGGAAGGUAAAAGAAGCCAUGAACAUUAUGGAAGCCAUGGAGCGUUUUGGGUCCAAGAAGGCAAGACCAGCAAGAAGAUCACCAUUUCUGACUGUGGACAACUCUAA
rnacentral:lncRNA from 1 species